GGGUUGUGAGGUUAAGCGACUAAGCGUACACGGUGGAUGCCCUGGCAGUCAGAGGCGAUGAAGGACGUGCUAAUCUGCGAUAAGCGUCGGUAAGGUGAUAUGAACCGUUAUAACCGGCGAUUUCCGAAUGGGGAAACCCAGUGUGAUUCGUCACACUAUCAUUAACUGAAUCCAUAGGUUAAUGAGGCGAACCGGGGGAACUGAAACAUCUAAGUACCCCGAGGAAAAGAAAUCAACCGAGAUUCCCCCAGUAGCGGCGAGCGAACGGGGAGCAGCCCAGAGCCUGAAUCAGUGUGUGUGUUAGUGGAAGCGUCUGGAAAGGCGUGCGAUACAGGGUGACAGCCCCGUACACAAAAAUGCACAUAUUGUGAGCUCGAUGAGUAGGGCGGGACACGUGGUAUCCUGUCUGAAUAUGGGGGGACCAUCCUCCAAGGCUAAAUACUCCUGACUGACCGAUAGUGAACCAGUACCGUGAGGGAAAGGCGAAAAGAACCCCGGCGAGGGGAGUGAAAAAGAACCUGAAACCGUGUACGUACAAGCAGUGGGAGCACAGAGCAAUCUGUGUGACUGCGUACCUUUUGUAUAAUGGGUCAGCGACUUAUAUUCUGUAGCAAGGUUAACCGAAUAGGGGAGCCGAAGGGAAACCGAGUCUUAACUGGGCGUUAAGUUGCAGGGUAUAGACCCGAAACCCGGUGAUCUAGCCAUGGGCAGGUUGAAGGUUGGGUAACACUAACUGGAGGACCGAACCGACUAAUG
rnacentral:rRNA from 1 species